GGAAAAGAAACCAACCGGGAUUCCCUGAGUAAGGGCGACUGAAACGGGAUCAGCCCAGCGCAUAACCUCGCGGUCCAUAGCUCGGCCGUCGAGGGGUGUUGCGUUUCGGUGGAUCCAUCCCGCUCGAGCCGCUUACCGCCUAAGUCAUUGCUUGAAAGCAGCCCCAAGGAGGGUGAUAGGCCCGUGUGGCGGCGCCUGUAAAAAGGGUGAAGGCGGCCCGGGCGGAGGGAUCUUACACACCGUAGAGUCGGGUUGCUUAAUACUGCAGCCCUAAGCAGGUGGUAAACUCCAUCUAAGGCUAAAUACAAUCACGAGACCGAUAGAGCACAAGUACCGUGAGGGAAAGCUGAAAAGGACUUUGAAGAGAGAGUUCAAGAGGA
rnacentral:rRNA from 1 species